UCCGAGGUCGUCUAACGGCAGGACAGUGGCCUUUGAAGCCGCUUAUCUUGGUUCGAAUCCAAGCCUCGGAACUA
rnacentral:tRNA from 1 species